GACAGAGGGGGCAAGCGUUGCUCGGAAUCACUGGGCGUAAAGGGCGCGUAGGCGGGUUGGCAAGUCAGUCGUGAAAUCUCUCGGCUCAACCGAGAAACGUCGGCUGAUACUGCCGUUCUUGAGGGAUGCAGAGGAGACUGGAAUUCCGGGUGUAGUGGUGAAAUGCGUAGAGAUCCGGAGGAACACCAGUGGCGAAGGCGACACGCUGGGCCGUACCUGACACUGAUGCGCGACAGCAUGGGGAGCAAACAGG
rnacentral:rRNA from 1 species